AUCAUCUCCUCCCAACUAACCAAGCAACACAAGAUGAUCAAAAGAGAAUUUCACUAAGCGGCAAACAAAAGAAGCUGACACUGUCAGAACUCCAGGGGAGAAAGAAGCCAGCUGGCCGCUGCACCAAGGACAAGAAGAAUCAGAAAAAUCAGAAGCUACUGAGAAACAAAUCAAAUGUAGUUAUUACAGAAUAGCAACAUGACACUUUUCACUGAGGAAAAAGUACUACACAGAAUCACAGGAAUUUGAGAUGGAGACCACCUACAGCGUUGCCAUUUUCUCUCCCCACUACCCGCCACUGAUGGCUUUUUCUGUACACUGUAAAUUCUCUGCUUCUAUCCUGUCCAUUUUAAGUGGGUCAAAUGACGGGGCUUCCACCAUUUCCCUUACGAGACUGUUUUAAAAUGAAUAGCUAGUACGUCUUCCCCAUCCCUGCAUUCAGCCUAAACAUUCCUUUGUUUAGUUUCACAUCUCACUACUCCUAAUUACAUCCCAUGGUACCUGCCUAAACCAAACCCUAAAUCCAUCUCCGUUAUGGGGGGGCAUUUAGACCCUUUACGUACUUGUAGAUGUUGCUUUCCCUUGUCAUUUAAUUUUUUUGGUCUUUCAAGUCACCACACUCAGCUCUGCCACUGCUAGCUUUGGAUAUGUUAAACGGGAUAUUUAUUUGAGACUAAGGGACCGAUUAUGCAACCCUAAAUCAUAUUUAGUUCCUUAUUCUGAGUGGUCUAAUUCAGUGUUUCUCAACGACCGGUCGGUGGACCAACACUGGUCCCCGAGAUGUCCCUGACAUAGUUUAGGAAGGCAGCAAGCUGGUCCCCCUAGUAUCAAAAAGGUUGAGAAACACUGGUCUAAUUGAUUACAAUAGGACUAGUCGCAAAGAAAGGCCCAUCUCAACGCAAGGAUGGCAUAUUCUGAAGCUUAAUUAAAAUAUGGAACCCAUUGAAACGCCAAGUCAUCGAGACUCUUCAAUAAAUGUUCUACAAAUAUUCCAGCCAGAUGCCAAGAUUUUGAAUAAGAAGGAAUUAUUAGUAUUAAUUUGUAAGUAAAGGUUUUUUGCCACAAG